CCUACGGGACGCUGCAGUGGGGAAUAUUGGACAAUGGGCGAAAGCCUGAUCCAGCCAUGCCGCGUGUGUGAAGAAGGCCUUCGGGUUGUAAAGCACUUUCAGUGGGGAAGAAAGCCUUGGGGCUAAUACCCUCGAGGAAGGACAUCACCCACAGAAGAAGCACCGGCUAACUCCGUGCCAGCAGCCGCGGUAAUACGGAGGGUGCGAGCGUUAAUCGGAAUUACUGGGCGUAAAGCGCGCGUAGGCGGUCUGAUAAGCCGGUUGUGAAAGCCCCGGGCUCAACCUGGGAACGGCAUCCGGAACUGUCAGGCUAGAGUGCAGGAGAGGAAGGUAGAAUUCCCGGUGUAGCGGUGAAAUGCGUAGAGAUCGGGAGGAAUACCAGUGGCGAAGGCGGCCUUCUGGACUGAGACUGACGCUGAGGUGCGAAAGCGUGGGUAGCAAACAGGAUUAGAUACCCUAGUAGUC
rnacentral:rRNA from 1 species